AGUGAACGCUGGCGGUAGGCCUAACACAUGCAAGUCGAACGGCAGCACAGUAAGAGCUUGCUCUUACGGGUGGCGAGUGUCGGACGGGUGAGGAAUACAUCGGAUUCUACUUUUUCGUGGGUGAUAACGUAGGGAAACUUACGCUAAUACCGCAUACGACCUACUGGUGAAAGCAGGGGAUCUUCUGACCUUGCGCGAUUGUAUGAGCCGAUGUCGGAGUAGCUAGUUGGCGGGUUAAAGGCCCACCAAGGCGACGCUCCGUAGCUGGUCUGAGAGGAUGAUCAGCCAGACUGGAACUGAGACACGGUCCAGACUCCUACGGGAGGCAGCAGUGGGGAAUAUUGGACAAUGGGCGCAAGCCUGAUCCAGACAUACCGCGUGGGUGAAGAAGGACUUCGGGUUGUAAAGCCCUUUUGUUGGGAAAGAAAAGCAGCAGGUUAAUACCCCGCUGUUAUGACGGUACCCAAAGAAUAAGCACCGGCUAACUUCGUG
rnacentral:rRNA from 1 species